UACGUAGGGGGCAAGCGUUGUCCGGAAUCAUUGGGCGUAAAGAGCGUGUAGGCGGCCCGGUAAGUCCGCUGUGAAAGUCGGGGGCUCAACCCUCGGAUGCCGGUGGAUACUGUCGGGCUCGAGUACGGAAGAGGCGAGUGGAAUUCCUGGUGUAGCGGUGAAAUGCGCAGAUAUCAGGAGGAACACCGGUGGUGUAGACGGCUUUCUGGACCGACACUGACGCUGAGACACGAAAGCGUGGGUAGCAAACAGG
rnacentral:rRNA from 1 species